UUCCCUACUUUGCUCAGAUCAGUUGAACCAUUGUCCCUUGUUGCCUCUUCUCAUGUUGUGACCAGAGAGACGUUGAAGCUUCCCAUGCUGUGCCGACUGAAGGUUCCCUGCUUUGCUCUCCAGACUCUUCACUUUUGAUCUACAGUUUUAGAGCUUAAGGAAAGAAAAACAUGGUGUAUUCGGGUGAAGGAUUCGGGUCCCAUUUGUCCUUAACCAAGAAUGCCAAAGUAAAACUAGAACAAGGCAAUUGAUGAAGCUGAAGUUUAGUGGAGCCAGCACAAUGCAAAGAAGCUCAUUAACACAAGUGAUAAGGGAUUCCGUGGUUUGAUUCCCAAAAGCUUCCCAUACUUCCACAUUGAAUUUGGUUUAAACUAGGGAUUUGUUCAUGUAAUUGAUGAUGAAGGCCAAUUCAAGAGCAACCUUGGUCUCAAUGUUAUUAUAGGCAAGCUAUAACUGCCAGAAGAAGACAUGUAUCGUCACUAGAGGCAUAAAUCUGUGAAAGAACAAGAGUAGGGUUUCGUAAGUUUUGCUCGUGAUUGGGAACAUUUUGACUGGACAAAACAACUUCACUAAGUAGGAAUUGAAGUAGGAAAUCACCAAAGUUGCAUCCAGGUAAUAAUGGAAAGCACGAUGGGAUAUUUGCAUUGUCAUCCUUACCUACAAUUGUUAGACUUGAUAAACAUAAGACUUGGGUAAUUUUCUA